rnacentral:rRNA from 1 species
UACGUAGGGUGCGAGCGUUGUCCGGAAUUAUUGGGCGUAAAGAGCUCGUAGGCGGCUCAGUAAGUCAGGUGUGAAAACUCCAGGCUCAACCUGGAGACGCCACCUGAUACUGCUGUGGCUAGAGUCCGGUAGGGGAGCAUGGAAUUCCUGGUGUAGCGGUGAAAUGCGCAGAUAUCAGGAGGAACACCAGUGGCGAAGGCGGUGCUCUGGGCCGGAACUGACGCUGAGGAGCGAAAGCGUGGGGAGCAACA